CCGUUCACUUUGGGGCCAUACGGCUUUGGGAUGGCGAGGUUUUUCCCCAAGACCACCAUGUUCACCUAGAAACAGAUGAUAACAAACAUGAGACCAAGAAUGAGAGCUAACAUGAUCACAUCUCUGUUCCAUCUCUGGAAAUACCAUGUCAGGGUAGAAAGCUGAAGCUCUGUGCGGCUCCUCCGGUCCUGACCAAUGGACCUGGAAGAGAAUCGGCAGGUCGAUGAUGUCUGCCUCCUCCAGGCCCAGCUCUCUCUUCAGGACGUCUCUGUUCCAGUCGAUGCAGCUCUGGGAAACAAAAACAUGGCAGACACUGUCCAUCACACCAGCAGGACAACAAAGCAGCACCUUCUGUGGUCUGUGCAGAAGAAGACGGCCUGCCGGAGAUACGACAAAGAUCUGCAAAACUCAGAGAAGGAGAGCUGAGAAAACGUCUACGAAAAUAAUCCUGCAGGAGUUUUAUGAAGGAGCAAACCCCGAUCUCUGCAGGGCCUGGUCUCUGCCUCUCCCUCUCUCUCUCUCUCUCUCUCUCUCUUUCUCUCUCUCUCUCUCUCUCUCCACAUUUCUGUCCUCUCUUGAUGAAGGAAGACAUCUGAGUUUUUUUUAAAGGUCAGUUUUAAAGGCAUGGUUGAGGAUUGUAGAGAUUAGUAAUUAUUAUGAACCUCGUUUCUAUGGCGACCAUGGUCCUGUAGUGCGAUCUCCACAAAGUGAAGAGAAAAAAGAACAGAAAAAAAUCUGUUCAUCCUAUCAGGAGCAGGGCUGCAAAAACAUUGACCAAUAGGAGCCAUCCAUCCUGGACAGCUCCUAUUUGUCAACUUCCUGUGCCACCUCUCCAUCCAAUCACCUCGCUGCUUUUUUCAAAUCUGCCUCAACGGCUCAGUUUUUUUUUAACUGAAGCUCAGAUCAUAAACCAGGACAUUAAUUUUUAAACCAAUCAAAUCCUCUUUCAAUCAACAUUUCAUGCCAACUUGUUUAUACCAGGUAACAGGUGAGACAUGUAAAGUGAGCGGGUUGUUAUGGUCCCUGUUGUUUCAGAGUCCUGCUCACCCUGUCAGUAUUCUAAUUAGCAUAACCACCAGUUUACUCUCCAUCAUCCCUUCUUCAAAGCGUUCUGAUUGGCUGAGACUGGUGUCACAUUCUUCUCUGUUUCCCUUUAAUGAAUUAAAUUACAACGAUCUGGGACUCAAACACGUUCAUUCGAUAACAUUGAUAGUGUGUAUUCACUCGGCUCGGUCUAACACUUGAAUCCCACUCACCUGCACGUACAUGUUCCCAUUUUGCAAAGUCUCAUCAGCAAGUAUCUGAUCCACUGUCAGUGGUUCGCCCUCUCGCCGACCUUAUUGAAGUCAAAGAGAGAUAGAAAUGUAAAUCUAGAUUUAACCCCCAAAUCAAACAUGUUCAAGUUGAGCGAAUCAUCAGGUUUUCAUCAAACACAGAGACUUUUCCGUCUCCACACUUCACUUGUCGUCUUUGUUGUCUAUUUUCAGGUAAAUAUAAGUUUAACUUCAGUUUAUUAAGAUCUCACAGAGCAGGACGGACCCCUACCCUCCAACAGUGUGGCCUGUCCGUGUCCGUCAUUCUGUAAGUUCCUGAAGAGUUUGUAGGCGGCAUCAGGGCUAGCGAGCAGCAGCCGAAACCCCUGAGAACAGAAGUACAGUUUGAGUUCAUGUGGCUUCAUCCUCAGAUGUAAACAGGGACUUGUAUUUGUUUUCAAAGCUGAGGGUACCAGGCCUUUAUAUGACACAGGCCUGUAUAAGAGGCAGGCUUUAUUUGAAGAGAUAUCUCUGAAUCUGUUCCUACUUUACCAAAAGCAAAUGAGCCAAUUUUUUUCCGUUUCAACACUCAAUUUGUCGUCUUUGUCGUCUGUUUUCAGGUAAAUAUAGGUUUAACUUCUGUUUAUUAACUUUUCACAGGGCAGGACAGACCCCUACCCUCACAAACUUUGGUGGUGAGAUGCAUCAUCUAACCCACCAAGCCUGUGUAAAGAGUUAACACUGCCGUGCAGACGCUCUGGGCUGCAUUUAAAUCUAUUCAUUAAAAAAGUGCACGUGUCACAUCUGCCAUAAAUCAACUGAAACCACUUCUUUUAGAUUUUAAUUUCUUUGUUGGCGGUUAAAGAGACUAUUUACCUUUCUGUCAGGUGCAGGAACAAAGGUCAUGAACUCAUCAACAUGUCCCACAAACAGCCAAUCAGAAAACAGAGCCACCGGCUCCUGAACCUUUUGGGCCCACAGGAAGUCCUGAACUACUUUGGUCAUGUUGCGUCCCGUCUCUGCCCUUUGAGAAGAGACAGAGUUUAAAGAGCCGCUCCAACAUGGAUUAUUCAUCCUCCUCAAAAGUCUGAGACUCUUCUCUGGAUCUUUGAGACACUCACGUAGGAAAGGCCACUCCGAUGAUGAUCCUGCCUAAGGGAUAGUGCUUUCCAUUCACGGUGACCGGAGGACUGACCUCCAGGUUCCCGAAAGAGUCCAGACUGGUCACUUCUUCUCUGUGGGCUGGUCUUGUAACGUAGCCGAAGUCAGGGCCCUGAGGACGUGAGAGCGGUUAUGGGACAAAAUACAAAAACAUGGCGUCAGGUUUGAGUGAGGAAACACUGAAGAGACACGUGUUGUUGUCAGGUGUCUCUUUAACUUUGAGCUUAUCAAACUUCAUAUUUAAAUAACAGCGAAAACAAGAAGUCUGCAUCUUCUGAGUCUGAGAACAAGUCAGAGACUUUAGGGCUGAAGAUGAACUCAGAUCAGGAGUCCUGGAAAUCAAGACUCUGGUCAGAUUGGAGUGUGAGUCCUUCAACAGGUCCAGGAUGAGGGUUUAGGUCUCUCACCAGCAGCUGAUUAUAAGGAAAGUCCUUCAGAGGUCCGUUUCGAGGCGAAUCCAGAACAACAGGAAACUGCUGAUGAGGGGAGUCCACGUAACCAAACUCCAGCUCAUCCUGAAAACACACAAGUAUGAGUUUUAUUUCUAAAGUGUAUUUUUUAAAUGAGAUUUUAUUUGAAUUAUUUUUCCUUUCAUUCUUUUUUUAAACUCUACGUUUCUUUAUUCUUGAAUUUCUCUUUUGUAUUUUUUUGCUGCUGUCAUUUAAAACUUCCCCCUGUGAGACUAAUACAGGACGAUCUUAUCUUAUCUUCUCGACGUGAACUCUGUCAUCUCUACUGAUUAGCCCACUUCCAGAGAAGCAGUUCCUUCCUUCUUCUGUGAAGAUUUCACUCGUCUCAUUUCCUGUUUUGUUUCAUCAUGUGGUCAUUCAGAACGAUGAACCACUUUUACUGUUACUGUUACUGUACUCUAAAUUAUCAGAUCAGUCAUGACUGGACUCGUACAAAGGAUGCUGUGAAUGACCCCAAUGACCUUGACACAGGAGCUCUCUGAGUCCGUCUCUCUCACUUCUCUUCACAGUUCAGAUAAGGUCAUAAAAAUCCGACACCUCAGACUCGGUAACGCGAUGAAGAAGAGGGAAACGUCAGAUUACAGGUGUCUAAAAAUGAAUGAACACGUCAGGUUUCUCACUUGCAUCCAUCGAUCUCCUCUGUUCACGAACUGAGGGCAAACCUUCAGCUGACAGCCGCUCUUCACAGCCAUGUCUUUCAUCUCCUUCAGCAGCGUGUAGUUAUCCUCCGUCCUGGAGAGAAACACAAACAGGAGCCGUUUCAGAGAACUCCGGUUCAUUUUCAUUAACAAAGAAAAAGUCUGAGAAGUUUCAAAGGAGGAAGUCAGAUGUUACUGCAAUCAUGAUUCAUCAUUUUGAGCUUUAAACAGGGAAGUGAAGUAUUGAGACUUUAAACCAUCAUUCUGUGGACAUGUCUGUCCCCUCUCAGCUGUUGUACUCGUCCUCAGUGUGCUGCUCUCACCUGCAGAUAAACACCUCCAUGGGCUGGAGGGUGUUGGGAGUCAUGAUCCAUGGAGCCACUCUGAACACGACUCUGUCGGUGAAAAUAGGAGUAUCAGGAACACUCUGUGGACACAAGAAGGACACUGAAGUACUGACAGCUACACACCCUCUUUGUGAAGAAAUGAAACAGACAAACACAAAGAAAUGGACAAAAAGUGUCAACAACACAACAACACGAAAAAACCGUUAGAAGUAAACAUCUGUGCCGACUCAGGUGAGAUGUCAGAAAGAAAAACUGUCUGCUGAGUGAAUGUGAGGGUUCAGAGGAUAAGACUGAUUCCUUAUAGGACAUCACCAACGCUGAUCUUACCUCAGCUAUGGGCUCCAACAGACUGAGGCUGAUGCUGACAAAUCCAUCAAAGUCUUUGUCGGGAAACCUGAGGCCCUCCACGUAAAAGUUCAGCUCUGCAUCUCCUCCAGAGUAAGGGACCUCCUGGGAUAAAACCUCCCCGCUCAGAACCAGAGGAAAGCUCUUAACGAAGAGGCUGUACAGGAGAUUCCCCACUGGAGGAGGAGGAGCAGCAGAAAAUGAGAGUUGAAUGUAUUAUCAUCUCCCCUGAGACCGUCUUCAUCCGUCUGUACUCACACACGCUGUUUGGAGCCUUCAGAGAACUGGACCUGAAGACUCGGACACUCUCUGCGUCGCUCUGAGAGAUGUGCAUGGUGAGCUUGUAGCCCUGAGGGAGCGUGGGGGGGCCUUUGGUCCUCAGCACCAUGAGUGACAUGUCCUUCAGAUCUGUGUGAGGACAAAGAGUGAGGGCGACUUAAAGAUCAGACUCAGUUUUAAAGAUAUGAUCCACCAAAAUCAAUCAGAUACUCUAGUUCUUUAUGAAGCUGGUUUCACGUUGGGUGGUGUAUCAGCCUAACUUCUUUGACUUAACCCGAAACUUUGGAGACUGAGUCCUCCUCAAGGUCUGGUUUCUUCCAAAACCUCCGCUCAGAGUCACAGUUGACCAAUAGGAUGGCUCCGUGCCCGUCUGGACCCCAUUUCCAGGAGCCCUGAACAGUUUUACAGAGUAUGAAAGGGUUAAUGAGACCGCCUGAACCUGCACAAGAAUGAAGACACCGACCCCAGAGUCAAAACACAAAAACAUUUAACAACAUUAGGAGCAGAGCCGCCCAGCAUCACGCUUUGAGUGUGACAGUCACACAGUUUGACCUGUUCUCACACGCCACACUUGACAUUUCUCACGCUUAUUUUUCCCCGUUCAAUAAUCUGUAUUGAUUUUUUUUACAAUAACAAACUUCUGAUUGACUGACCGAGAUAACCAAUCCCAGACUGAUCCAUCAGUCCUUUGUGCCUAAAUCUAACCAACCACAGAAGGCACCACGCAGUAUGAACCAAUCAGAGGCAACGUAAGGCGGGUCUUGGCGUCUCUAACUAUCUUUCACACACAACAGCGCCGAAAUUUAAAACCCACUUUCUAAUUUCUCAUUUCUGGUUAAUUAAGGCCAGCAUUAGGGAGAGCAGCUGGCAUGGAGGUGAGGACAUCAGUCUGAAGGUAUAAAUCGACGUUCAAAAAGGCCACAUUUUUCUCUGCUGACGAACACAUCAUUGAUUCUGAUUGGCUAACGUGAGUUUGGCACGCUCUUGACGGCAUGUAUACAUGGGUAAGUGUAAACCCAAACUUUUCUGAAAACGUAGGGGUGUGCACGCAGUUUUUUGUUUUUUCUUGCAAAUAGAGAGGGUGAAAUAUCUGUUUAUAAAAA
rnacentral:lncRNA from 1 species